rnacentral:rRNA from 1 species
AUUGGACGCUGGCGGCAUGCCUUACACAUGCAAGUCGAACGGUAACAGGUCUUCGGAUGCUGACGAGUGGCGAACGGGUGAGUAAUACAUCGGAACGUGCCUAGUAGUGGGGGAUAACUACUCGAAAGAGUGGCUAAUACCGCAUGAGAUCUACGGAUGAAAGCAGGGGAUCGCAAGACCUUGUGCUACUAGAGCGGCCGAUGGCAGAUUAGGUAGUUGGUGGGAUAAAAGCUUACCAAGCCGACGAUCUGUAGCUGGUCUGAGAGGACGAUCAGCCACACUGGGACUGAGACACGGCCCAGACUCCUACGGGAGGCAGCAGUGGGGAAUUUUGGACAAUGGGCGAAAGCCUGAUCCAGCAAUGCCGCGUGCAGGAUGAAGGCCUUCGGGUUGUAAACUGCUUUUGUACGGAACGAAAAGCUCCGGGUUAAUACCCUGGGGUCAUGACGGUACCGUAAGAAUAAGCACCGGCUAACUACGUGCCAGCCGCCGCGGUAA